rnacentral:tRNA from 6 species
GGAUCCGUAGCUCAGUGGAAGAGCGUUCGGUUCACAUCCGAAAGGUCGAAGGUUCGAUCCCUUCCGGAUCCA